AUUCUUAAAGUAAUUUAUUACAUUUAAUUUCGACUUAAAAAUAGAUUAUAAUAUAAAAAAAAUUAAUCUAAGAAUU
rnacentral:tRNA from 1 species